UGAGCAGUGGAGCGGGAAAGGGCGCGGGACCCGGGACUGUAACCGCCACUUCCAGGCCCUCGCUCCCCGCGCUUGGAGCCCUCAAGGGCACUCUCAGGGAUCCUCGAGAGCCUUAAAACAGAAGUCUCUGGAACCUGUGUCCUCUCCCUGUCUGUCCCGCCCUCGAAUCCCUGUGUCCUCCUCACCCGCUCCCUCCUGCAUCGUCUCUGCCUUGAACCUUGGAAACAAGUGCUUUCAACAUAAGCGAUGUGAAGGCAUUAAAACAUGUUGAAUGGCUGUGUGCACAGGAUAUCCUACACCUGCCUGACAUCUGGAAUGCAGGUGAAGCAACCUGACCUGAUGGAGCCACCCACACUUUAGAAGAAUCUCAAAUACAGCCAACCCUGAUCUUCCUCAGCUGAAAAUCAUCCAUCUACCAAACUCACAAAUUAAACAUAACGUAAAUAUUAUUACGUUAUGCCUUGUGUUGUGGUGUUAGGCAUGCACAGAUCUGGGUUUAUCCCCUUGUGCUAGACAGUAAGUCACUUGGUUUGAGUCUGUCUGUUUCAGUGACCCUUUUCUCUAAAGCAUUUAGUUAACAUGAUGGCUGACAUCAGCGAGAACUCAGUAAAUGUGGAUUAAAUGAGAAAAUUCAAAAGAAUGAUUACUUACCUUUUUAAAGUUAUCAAUGAAUUCUAUACAAAUAACAACUUAAAGGUCACUAUGUUUCCAGGAAGUUUGGGUGGAGAGCAGAGGAUUGGUUUUCUAGACAGAGAACUUGUUAGACUGAAACAAAUCUUUCUGUGGAAAGUGUUGGGUUGCUGGCCUGAAUCCUGGCUGCUAUAGGGUCCCUGCCUCUUUCUUGGGCCCCUGACCUUAGAAGAAUCUUCCUUCAGAUAAGAAGAGGAGGCAGCUCCAAGUUUACGGCAAACCACCAGCCUCACACACCACUCCCAACCCACCCUUUUUCCAGACUUUAAAACAUCCCAGAAAAGGAUCAUGGUUGCUCCAGCCUGGACCAUGAGCUGCUGAGCAGUCGCUGAAAAUCCCUUCAACAAAAUGACAUAGCUGAUGUGAGUAAAUAGUAAUUCCUUGAAGGAAGAGAAAUUCUAUUUCCAGGGGAAUGACUGCUUGACAGAUAAAAAGAGACACAAGUAUCCCCACAUCUUGGAAUUUGACCUCUAGCCGCCACAAUUGACUAUAUUUGUCAUCACCUUCUUCUUGUCCAGCUGAACUCCUAAACCUGCCACCCCACCCCUAGCUAAGCUAAUAACAUGAAACUGUGCCCCAAAAGAUAGUGAAUAUUUACUGAAAUGCAAAACCAAGAGUUAUAAACUAUAGCCACAGACAAGACUUCUUAAAUGCAGGAAGUUUUGAAUAAGUGGGCACAAGUUAAUACAAUCAAAGAAAAACAAUAUUUGAUAUUUUGGACAUGAGCCCAAUGUGCUGGCGUAUAUGUGUGUGUGAGUGGGCAGGUGGAUGGGGGAAAUCUCACUAAUGAUGGGUGUCAUCAGGAAAGAAAAUCCAAAAACAAAACUACCAUUCAUUUGUACAAUUAACAAUUAGAAAGUGACAAAUGUUUAAUAAUACACUUGGAGUGAUACAUGGUUGUACCUGACCUCAGAAAACUCAUGGCACAACUAAGAAGACAGAGACAUAGACAUAAACAUGUCACAUAGCUUGAGUUCUAGUUGGAGGAUUAAAAGUAUUAUACAAGUACAGAGAUCUAAGAGUUCUGCAGAAGAAAGAUGAUGUUUUAUAAGAAAGUUCCUCGGAGUGGGUCAUUUGAGCUGGGAUUUGAAGGCUAAAUAGGAGUAUGUCAGGUGUGCUUCAUAUCAGCAACUAACAAAAUCAAAGAGACAGAGAAACUGCUGUAGUUGUUAAAGUGACCCCAUCUCUACAAAAACUACAAAAGUUAUCCACGGGUGGUGACACACCCCUGUGGUCCCAGCUACUUAGGGGUGCUGAGGUGGGAGGAUGACUUGAGCCCAGGAGGUUGAGUGUUCAGUGAGCUGUGAUUGUACCACUGCACUCCAGCCUGAGUGACAGAGUGAGACCCUGUGUCAAAGAAAAAAAAAAAAAAAGAAGUGACAGAAAAGUAUAAGUGAUAAGUAGGACAAACCUACCACAUAUUGAAAUAAUAGAAGACAAGCACCUUUUGCUGGAAAAGCAUCACUGCGGGAAGAAUUCCUUCCAUAUAAUUACCAAGAAGUCACUAUUCCAUCAAAUGCAACCGAGAGCCACCGAAGUACCAAGAAAUAAGCAAAUCGGCCUCUAAAAGACCACCACAGCCCACCCCACACAAUCACAUAAAAAUCCAGUUACUAAUGCUUCCACUUUCCUCUCCAGUGAGACUGCUAGAUAUGCUUAUAUCUGACUUUAAAUAUAAUCCUAAUAAAUAUGCUCACCUGAUCUUCCUGUCCACAGCAAAUGGCAAAUAACAAAUCUGGAAAUGUAAGCAGAGUAGCAGCAUUAUGAAAUAACAGCUAAUAUUCCUGCCCUGACCCCAAAGAAAGCAGAACCAAUAGUUUUAAACCUCAGCAGGAAGCAUUCAUUUAAGAAGAAACAGCUCUAUACACAGCUGAGUAGCCACUGGAGGUGUUAUUUUGCUUUGUAUCCUGAUAUUCAUCAAGCAUGUGAGUCUCCAAGAAAAGUUUAGACCUUGUUGAUUAAACAGUAAAGGAUGAUGAGAGGCUUAUUCAGAAGAUUCCCUUUCAGUAUGGUUAAUUGCAGAUUUUUACCAUGUAAAAUAACCAGAUUAAAAAGUCUUCUCAUACCAUACUCCCCUCCUUCCACCUCCAAGCUUUGGUGGGUGCACCUGUUAGGCCUUGCAGUGCCCCUGUGAGCAUGCACCCUCACCACCCUCCUCCAGCUGACCGUAAGUCACUUGAGGGCAAGUCAUUUAUAUUCAUGUAACAUUUAUAGUUUGUCCCCAGUGCUUAGUUCAAAUGCCUUGGCACAUAAUGGGUAUUCAAAAAGGGUUUAUAUAAUGGACAAAGGAAAAUGAAGUGAUUGUAACACUUUUAAAGAAGAUUUAUAUUAAAAAUGAAUGAGCUUCCCACUACACGAACACUUCUUUUGCACUCACCAAUGAAAACUAAAAUUGAUUGAUCAUUUACUAGGUCAGGCACUGUUCCAAGCGUUUCACACAUGUGAAUUUAAUCCUCACCACAGUGCUGUGAAGCAGGCACUAUUAUGUUCCCUAUACCAAGGAGGACAGUGAGGCCCAGACAAUGUGCUGUGCCCAGGCAGGCAGCCGGUAAAUGACAGAGGCUGCCUGCACACUCUGGCAGGCUGGCUCCCAAGCCCAUGCCCUAUCCACUCUGUCAUAUACCUCCAGUGUUAUAUUAUUCAUAGAAGACCAAAAAAAGAAACCUAUGCGACUCACUGCUGCUAAAAGGGGUUGAGAACGUCAGUGUAGCUUCCCCGGUUUACAAAAAAAUCUUAGUGGUUGCACAACGUUGUGAAUGUAUGUAAUGCCACUAAGUUGUACACUUAAAAUAGUUACAAUGGUCAUUUUCAUGUUAUGUAUAUUUUACCACAAUAAAACAUUUCUUUUU